GACAGGAGGACAGCCAUGUAGUUAAGGGGAUACUCUCCCAUCAUAAAUUUCAAGCUCAUGCUAAACAAAGCAGUGCUGGCAGCUUAGCUCCCUUGACCCACUGCUGUUUCUGCAGUCUUCUAAUAACAAAUACCAUCAUCCCCAUAUUGAAGCUGUGGAAGUUGUCUCUCAUGGUAAUGGCUGAUUAUUACUGACACACUCAUCUCUGUUGCCAAGGUUACCCUGCAGCUGGUAGAGCAGGAACAAACUGGAUGGAGAUCCGUCUCACCUUUACUUGCUCUCAGUGCCUGCAUAAGGGCACUGCACUGUGCAACUGCUCUACAGUCCCCUGAGGGUACAUGAAAUGCAAUGGUCCUUUCUUUACUGAUCCCAGCCCUGAGGGAGUGACAAUAAAUAGUUUCCCCUCUGUUUUCAUGUCAAA